UACAAUUUGCACCUGGUAAUCGAAAAAAAAAAUCAAAAUCUACACUUGCCCUAGGGUUUUCUUAGAAACUACAGAUCGAUGAAAAAGAAAAUCGUGCAACUUCUAUCGGAAUCCUCUCCAUCGACGUCGAAAAUCAGAACCAAAGAUAUGCCACGAGUUAAACAAGCGGCUGCCAAAAUGAUCAAUCGAGGACGACCUGAAGGUAUACUGUCAAUAUUUGUUACAUGGUUUAUUACUAAAUGAUAAGGAAAUGCAUUAAAUAUCCCGGGGACAAAGGACAACGACUUAAACAAUUUUACAAUAUUUUAGCUAAUAAGCUUGCAGAGAAUAUUGUGCAGAGUCGUGUGAAAGGUCAAUUAAAUUCAAUAUUUUUUUUUCUUAUAUUAUGAAGCACAUUUUAGUGACUAAAUAGCUCGAAAGAGAAAGCAAGUGAUGAUGCAAAAGAGAAAGAUAAAAAACAAUCUAGGUUACGUAUAUUGGAGUUGCACACGACGUAUAUUGGGUUUUACACGACUUAUAUUGGAGUUGCGCACGUCUAUAUUGAAGUUGCAUUUGUUGUAUUAUUGGUUGCACAAACAUAGUUUUGUAAUUGCAUGAGUACUUUUGAGUUUUGAUAGUAUAUAUAUAGUUUAACUUAUAAUAUUUAUGUUUUAAAAUUGUUAAGACAUUUAGAUUUUGGCAAUGUUGACUAUUUCAUUUUAAUGA